rnacentral:rRNA from 1 species
UCAUGGCUCAGAUUGAACGCUGGCGGUAGGCCUACACAUGCAAGUCGAACGCGAAAGUCCUUCGGGAUGAGUAGAGUGGCGGACGGGUGAGUAACGCGUAGGAAUCUAUCCUGUAGUGGGGAUAACGUUUCGAAAGGAACGCUAAUACCGCAUACGCCCCACGGGGGAAAGCGGGGGAUCUUCGGACCUCGUGCUAUAGGAGGAGCCUGCGUCGGAUUAGCUAGUUGGUGAGGUAAAGGCUCACCAAGGCGACGAUCCGUAGCUGGUCUGAGAGGAUGAUCAGCCACACCGGAACUGAGACACGGUCCGGACUCCUACGGGAGGCAGCAGUGGGGAAUAUUGCGCAAUGGGCGAAAGCCUGACGCAGCCAUACCGCGUGUGUGAAGAAGGCCUUCGGGUUGUAAAGCACUUUCAGUGGGGAGGAAAAGCGGGUGGCUAAUAUCCAUCGGCCGUGACGCUACCCACAGAAGAAGCACCGGCUAAUUCCGUG